UUGAACGCUGGCGGCAUGCCUUACACAUGCAAGUCGAACGGUAGAGGGGCAACCCUUGAGAGUGGCGAACGGGUGAGUAAUAUAUCGGAACGUGCCCAGUCGUGGGGGAUAACACAGCGAAAGCUGCGCUAAUACCGCAUACGAUCUAUGGAUGAAAGCGGGGGAUCGCAAGACCUCGCGCGAUUGGAGCGGCCGAUAUCAGAUUAGGUAGUUGGUGGGGUAAAAGCCCACCAAGCCGACGAUCUGUAGCUG
rnacentral:rRNA from 1 species